AGGCUUUCUCACCUUAUAAAAAGAUCACUGGAUCCUUUUAAAUAACUGUUGUGAGCGAGCUAUGGUGAUAACAGACCAAACACUAGUGUGUUUUUCCACAUGUCAGAAUUUUUGAAUAACAAUAAAUUCCAGGUUAUACCACUUUCAUCGGUGGCAGUUCAUCGAAUACUUGUAGGUCACCUUAUAGUCAUAAUCCAGGCAAUCCCAAAUUCUUUUAUUCCAAUCUUAAAAGGUUAAGAAAGGGUUAAGGCAACCACAGGGGUUGGGGAGGCUGAAGUGAGAGCAAAGGCGGAGAGCAGAUAAAAAUGCAGUCGUUGUAGGCGUUCAGAUAAGAUUAGAACCAGCCAAAGAACUUGUUCAGGGUCGCAGAACUGUCAAGGGGCAGGAACUUAUCGGCCAAGGUCUGGACAGAAGGCAGUCUCAGAAUGUCAGCUUGGAAUGGGGUGUGUGGUCUCUGCUGAAGCCGAGGACAGAGAAGAUACUCACUGUGGCAAUUUUCCUGGGCAAGACUCAUGAGGAGUGACCAGAGCUUGAUGGACUUAUCUUAAUUACCAAGGCUGAAUAAACACUAGGGGGCUCCCUGGAGUGCAGAAUGUGCAAGAAAACUGCGGAAUACAGAUUACAAAUUAUGUAUAAUACUUCCAUUUUUCCUUGUCCUCAGGGACCAAAAAGUACUCAAUGUCACAAUAAAAAAACAUAAUAAACAUUACUAAUAUUUCCUAAAUGA